rnacentral:rRNA from 1 species
CGCACGAGCUUAGACUCGUAGGCAUAUAGCUCAGUAACACGUGGCCAAACUGCCCUACAGACCGCGAUAACCUCGGGAAACUGAGGCCAAUAGCGGAUAUAACUCUCAUGCUGGAGUGCCGAGAGUUAGAAACGUUCCGGCGCUGUAGGAUGUGGCUGCGGCCGAUUAGGUAGAUGGUGGGGUAACGGCCCACCAUGCCGAUAAUCGGUACGGGUUGUGAGAGCAAGAACCCGGAGACGGUAUCUGAGACAAGAUACCGGGCCCUACGGGGCGCAGCAGGCGCGAAACCUUUACACUGCACGACAGUGCGAUAGGGGGACUCCGAGUGUGAGGGCAUAUAGCCCUCGCUUUUCUGUACCGUAAGGUGGUACAGGAACAAGGACUGGGCAAGACCGGUGCCAGCCGCCGCGGUAAUACCGGCAGUCCAAGUGAUGGCCGAUAUUAUUGGGCCUAAAGCGUCCGUAGCCGGCCGGACAAGUCCGUUGGGAAAUCGACGCGCUCAACGCGUCGGCGUCCAGCGGAAACUGUCCGGCUUGGGGCCGGAAGACCUGAGGGGUACGUCCGGGGUAGGAGUGAAAUCCUGUAAUCCUGGACGGACCACCAAUGGGGAAACCACCUCAAGAAGACGGACCCGACGGUGAGGGACGAAAGCUAGGGUCUCGAACCGGAUUAGAUACCCGGGUAGUC